rnacentral:rRNA from 1 species
GACGAACGCUGGCGGCGUGCCUAAUACAUGCAAGUUGAGCGCUGAAGGUUGGUACUUGUACCGACUGGAUGAGCAGCGAACGGGUGAGUAACGCGUGGGGAAUCUGCCUUUGAGCGGGGGACAACAUUUGGAAACGAAUGCUAAUACCGCAUAAAAACUUUAAACACAAGUUUUAAGUUUGAAAGAUGCAAUUGCAUCACUCAAAGAUGAUCCCGCGUUGUAUUAGCUAGUUGGUGAGGUAAAGGCUCACCAAGGCGAUGAUACAUAGCCGACCUGAGAGGGUGGUCGGCCACAUUGGGACUGAGACACGGCCCAAACUCCUACGGGAGGCAGCAGGAGGGAAUCUUCGGCAAUGGACGAAAGUCUGACCGAGCAACGCCGCGUGAGUGAAGAAGGUUGUCGGAUCGUAAAACUCUGUUGGUAGAGAAGAACGUUGGUGAGAGUGGAAAGCUCAUCAAGUGACGGUAACUACCCAGAAAGGGACGGCUAACUACGUG